rnacentral:rRNA from 1 species
AUGAACGCUAGCUACAGGCUUAACACAUGCAAGUCGAGGGGCAGCAUUUUAGUUUGCUUGCAAACUGAAGAUGGCGACCGGCGCACGGGUGAGUAACACGUAUCCAACCUGCCGAUAACUCCGGGAUAGCCUUUCGAAAGAAAGAUUAAUACCGGAUAGUAUACGAAUAUCGCAUGAUAUUUUUAUUAAAGAAUUUCGGUUAUCGAUGGGGAUGCGUUCCAUUAGUUUGUUGGCGGGGUAACGGCCCACCAAGACUACGAUGGAUAGGGGUUCUGAGAGGAAGGUCCCCCACAUUGGAACUGAGACACGGUCCAAACUCCUACGGGAGGCAGCAGUGAGGAAUAUUGGUCAAUGGGCGCGAGCCUGAACCAGCCAAGUAGCGUGAAGGAUGAAGGCUCUAUGGGUCGUAAACUUCUUUUAUAUGGGAAUAAAGUUUUCCACGUGUGGAAUUUUGUAUGUACCAUAUGAAUAAGGAUCGGCUAACUCCGUGCCAGCAGCCGCGGUAAUACGGAGGAUCCGAGCGUUAUCCGGAUUUAUUGGGUUUAAAGGGAGCGUAGGUGGAUUGUUAAGUCAGUUGUGAAAGUUUGCGGCUCAACCGUAAAAUUGCAGUUGAAACUGGCAGUCUUGAGUACAGUAGAGGUGGGCGGAAUUCGUGGUGUAGCGGUGAAAUGCUUAGAUAUCACGAAGAACUCCGAUUGCGAAGGCAGCUCACUAGACUGUUACUGACACUGAUGCUCGAAAGUGUGGGUAUCAAACAGGAUUAGAUACCCUGGUAGUCCACACAGUAAACGAUGAAUACUCGCUGUUUGCGAUAUACAGUAAGCGGCCAAGCGAAAGCAUUAAGUAUUCCACCUGGGGAGUACGCCGGCAACGGUGAAACUCAAAGGAAUUGACGGGGGCCCGCACAAGCGGUGGAGCAUGUGGUUUAAUUCGAAGCAACGCGAAGAACCUUACCAGGUCUUGACAUCGUAUGCAUAGCUCAGAGAUGAGUGAAAUCUCUUUGGAGACAUAUAGACAGGUGGUGCAUGGUUGUCGUCAGCUCGUGUCGUGAGAUGUUGGGUUAAGUCCCGCAACGAGCGCAACCCUUAUCUUUAGUUACUAACAGGUCAUGCUGAGGACUCUAGAGAGACUGCCGUCGUAAGAUGUGAGGAAGGUGGGGAUGACGUCAAAUCAGCACGGCCCUUACGUCCGGGGCUACACACGUGUUACAAUGGGGGGUACAGAAGGCGGCUACCUGGUGACAGGAUGCUAAUCCCAAAAACCUCUCUCAGUUCGGAUCGAAGUCUGCAACCCGACUUCGUGAAGCUGGAUUCGCUAGUAAUCGCGCAUCAGCCAUGGCGCGGUGAAUACGUUCCCGGGCCUUGUACACACCGCCCGUCACACCAUGAGAGUUGGGGAUACCCGAAGCCUGUGAGCCAACAGUUAAAUGAGGCAGCAGUCGAAGGUAGAAUCAAUGAUUGGGGUG